ACUCCUACGGGAGGCAGCAGUGGGGAAUAUUGCACAAUGGGCGCAAGCCUGAUGCAGCCAUGCCGCGUGUAUGAAGAAGGCCUUCGGUUGUAAAGUACUUUCAGCAGUGAGGAAGGUGGGUAUGUUAAUAGCAUAUUCAUUUGACGUUUAGCUGCAGAAGAAGCACCGGCUAACUCCGUGCCAGCAGCCGCGGUAAUACGGAGGGUGCGAGCGUUAAUCGGAAUUACUGGGCGUAAAGCGCAUGCAGGUGGUUUGUUAAGUCAGAUGUGAAAGCCCGGGGCUCAACCUCGGAAUUGCAUUUGAAACUGACAAACUAGAGUACUGUAGAGGGGGUAGAAUUUCAGGUGUAGCGGUGAAAUGCGUAGAGAUCUGAAGGAAUACCGGUGGCGAAGGCGGCCCCCUGGACAGAUACUGACACUCAGAUGCGAAAGCGUGGGGAGCAAACAGGAUUAGAUACCCUGGUAGCACAGAGC
rnacentral:rRNA from 1 species